rnacentral:rRNA from 1 species
GACAGAGGGUGCAAACGUUGUUCGGAAUUACUGGGCGUAAAGCGAGUGUAGGCGGUCUGCUAAGUCGGGUGUGAAAGCCCUGGGCUUAACCCAGGAAGUGCACUCGAAACUGGCAGGCUAGAGUACUGGAGAGGUUGGUGGAAUUCUCGGUGUAGAGGUGAAAUUCGUAGAUAUCGGGAGGAACACCAGUGGCGAAGGCGGCGACCUGGGCCAAUACUGACGCUGAGGUGCGAAAGCGUGGGGAGCAAACAGG